UAUCUCAAAACUGAUAUUGUAAUUGCUCUCUGGUUGUAAUCUCUGUGAGUGGUAAGAGGAAUAAUUUUUUGAGUUUAUCAUUGCUCCUUAGCAAGAAUUAGUGUUUCCUUCAUGAGAACCGCAUAGGGGAAUUUCUUCUCUCAUUCUGUGCCCUUGUGACAUGCCAUGGAGAAAAAGCGUCUUAUGUGUUGUAGUUGCAGAGGAGGACAGUGGAACUCAGGAGGACAGUGGAACUCAGGAGAAACAGAGCCAAUCUUUAAUGAAGCUUACUUAGCAAAGUAUCCUUCUAAAAUGAGAGCUUUUGAGCUUGUCAACUGGGUCAUCACUUGCGUAAACUUCCUUUACUAAACAUUUGACCUAUUGGAACGUGACAAAUGGGGAUGCAGAAAGCAGCCAAAAGCUAUAAUGGAAUGAUGAUGUCAUGCAUGAAAAGUCCUUCAGAAGUGAUGUAAAGUGAAACAGUGAAUCCUUUGAAAGGGCUCUUUCUCAAUGGAGACCACUGUAUCCAUAGAUAUUGAGCUCUUUCUUCAUAUUCAAAUCACAUUGGGAAUAAAUUUGUACUAAUUUUGCAUCAGAUUAUUUUGGCAAAUAUUAGGCAGUGAUUUGAGUAGACUGGAUGUUUCCAUCCUGCAAGUUACAUGCUUUCUCUUCACUGAAGCAACUGAUAGAAACUAGCGAGUUCCAUUAGAGGAACACACUUGUUGUCCGCAUUAUGUUCCUCAUCUUCCGAACCUCCCUGUCUCCGUAACUGGAUACAGUGAUGUUGGAACUAAUGAAUCCAAAUCAGCUUGUUAAUGGUGCAAACGUGCAUGGAGAGGGGGAGAAAGAGAGAGAGAGAGAGA
rnacentral:misc_RNA from 1 species